AUUGAACGCUGGCGGCAUGCCUUACACAUGCAAGUCGAACGGCAGCACGGGUGCUUGCACCUGGUGGCGAGUGGCGAACGGGUGAGUAAUACAUCGGAACGUACCUUAUCGUGGGGGAUAACGCAGCGAAAGCUGUGCUAAUACCGCAUACGCCCUGAGGGGGAAAGCGGGGGAUCGCAAGACCUCGCGCGAUUAGAGCGGCCGAUGCCUGAUUAGCUUGUUGGUGGGGUAAAAGCCCACCAAGGCGACGAUCAGUAGCUGGUCUGAGAGGACGAUCAGCCACACUGGGACUGAGACACGGCCCAGACUCCUACGGGAGGCAGCAGUGGGGAAUUUUGGACAAUGGGGGCAACCCUGAUCCAGCCAUGCCGCGUGAGUGAAGAAGGCCUUCGGGUUGUAAAGCUCUUUCGGCCGGGAAGAAAUCGCACAGGCUCUAACACAGUCCGGGAAUGACGGUACCUGAAGAAUAAGCACCGGCUAACUACGUGCCAGCCGCCGCCGUAA
rnacentral:rRNA from 1 species